CCUUUCUUGGGAAGAAUAUUUAACUGUGAGAGAACAAAGACAAAUAAUGAACCUCCAAGGGCAGUUGAAGUCAAUUGUGGCCUCACAACAAUCACAGUCCCCUGGGCCCCUGUCCAACCUAUUUUAGGGACAGUUUUAUGGAUCCUACCUGGAGUACAGCUGUAACAUAAAUACAGAUGGGCAAGGGGCAAAAGCAAUCGCAAUGCCUAAGAGGAGGAAGGGAGGAUUUUGUAGAGAAGGAGCUGAGAGAGGGCCUGGAUUUUGUUCUCUGCUCCUUGCAGAAGUACCCCAGUCACCAUUCAUAUGCUGAAGGCUAUUGCCUCUUUCUUCUGACAAUGCUUCCUUGCCUCUCAAGGAGUUCCAGCCUGUCAUAGGAGGUUCUACGAAGGCAGAAGAACUAAAUUCAAGAUAUUUGUAGCCAAGAGAUCUCAGCUGGACUGAUUUUUCCAAAUAAACAUAUCCCUCUUACCCCA
rnacentral:lncRNA from 1 species